rnacentral:rRNA from 1 species
CCUACGGGAGGCAGCAGUGAGGAAUAUUGGUCAAUGGACGAGAGUCUGAACCAGCCAAGUAGCGUGAAGGAUGACUGCCCUAUGGGUUGUAAACUUCUUUUAUAUGGGAAUAAAACGUUCCACGUGUGGGAUUUUGUAUGUACCAUAUGAAUAAGGAUCGGCUAACUCCGUGCCAGCAGCCGCGGUAAUACGGAGGAUCCGAGCGUUAUCCGGAUUUAUUGGGUUUAAAGGGAGCGUAGGUGGAUUGUUAAGUCAGUUGUGAAAGUUUGAGGCUCAACCGUAAAAUUGCAGUUGAAACUGGCAGUCUUGAGUACAGUAGAGGUGGGCGGAAUUCGUGGUGUAGCGGUGAAAUGCUUAGAUAUCACGAAGAACUCCGAUUGCGAAGGCAGUUCACUGGACUGCAACUGACACUGAGGCUCGAAAGUGUGGGUAUCAAACAGGAUUAGAUACCCUUGUAGUC